GUGCGCGUUAAGAGCCGGCGUACCGCGGUCGCCCCCUGACGCCGGAGGUCGCUGGUUCGAUCGCAGCCGCGCCCA
rnacentral:tRNA from 1 species